rnacentral:lncRNA from 1 species
CAAUGUUGAUCUAUUUUAUUUUGCCAUUUUUAAUUAAACUACUUUCCCCUCUCCUAAAAUGUUGAGAACAUUGAAUGCUAUACCUUUCUGGGAAGUGGUUAUCAUACAGAAUUCAUAUUUCUAAAUUGUGAUUUAGUAAGUAUUAGCAGAGUGUUGAGUGGUAACCAGAUUAAAAAAGAAAGAAAUUCAAAUGCCGUUUUUCUGUAUGAGGCUGUAUAUGUUAGUUAGGAUAAUUUUAUUAUGUUUGAAAGAUUUGAUUUAAACCUUCUCAAGUUGUGUGUGUUUUGGCCACAUUUAUUUUGAUUUUAAGCCAAACAAGUGAUCCAUGCAACAGAUUCUAUUUUAAUCCUGAUGUUUAUUAUGAAAUCAGUGAUAUAUUACAUUGCAGUAAUGAGAAGCCAACAGUAUACUGAAUUGACUUAGAUGUAUUAAUAAAUUCCUUCAUGCAUCAAUAUGAGCUGCCCACUCUGUGCUCAGCUUCAUGUUACACACUGGGGUUUCAAUGCUGAAGAAAAUGGUGAACUAUAAGUUGAUCCCAUCUCCUUGAUAAAGGAAGACAUAUUCAUAAUGGUUUUCCAAGAGAGAUACCAGUAUAAAAGUUUCUUGUUUAAAGAAGAGGGGAAGUUACAGUUGUCAUCUGCUUACCUGGUAGAACUUUUAAACCUGGUCAUAUUCUAAAUGGGGAAUCCUCUUCCCAUUGAUACUUUAACAGCAAAUGUAUUAAAGGAAACUUAGAAAGACCUUUGAAAUUUCAUAGACUAUAGAUAUUUCUUGAAGCACUCAGUGACUAUACAUUUUAUAGUUCAAGAAACUUUGCUUUUCUCUUGGCUUCUUUCAGUGUCCAAUAGAAAGUGUGCUUGAGUGUCAA